GUCGCCAGUGGUGAUGUCGAUCGCCUGGCUUGCAGGUGGACUCAAAAUCCGUCCAGUGUGCGUUCGAGUCGCACCGGGG
rnacentral:tRNA from 1 species